rnacentral:pre_miRNA from 1 species
CAAGUACUCCCUCCGUCCAAAAAUACUUGUCAUCAAAAUGGAUAAAAAAGAUGUAUCUAGAACUAAUAUACAUCUAGAUACAUCCCCUUUUAUUCAUUUUGAUGACAAGUAUUUCCGUACGGAGGGAGUACUAC